GGAAAUAUUUUGGAGCUGAUCGAUUUUACUUCGGAUGGGACUACCAAAUUAACAAUUGUUUUUUUCUUCGUUCACCGAUGGUGCUGCAACGUCUCCUAUUGAUGAAUUCCACGUUAACGGAGUGUCGACUCACCGGAAAUCACAAAUCGCCGGUGACAUCGUAUUUGUGUCGAGAGAGAGAGAGUUGAAAGCGAAGGAAGAAGAAAAAACCCAACUUUUUUUGUUUCGUUAAAAAUAGAAAACCAAUCGCAGCAAAACACUUGUCGCCUCUCUCAAAUUAAAAAAAAACUCUCUCGAGAGAGCGCCUCUCUUCUUUAAUUUUCAGUUUAUAUUUAUUUUUUUGAUACAAAAUAUAGAGAACCUGUGAAAAAACACAAGAGAACCUCCCAUUGGAG